GUGCCUAAUACAUGCAAGUAGAACGCUGAAGACUUUAGCUUGCUAAAGUUGGAAGAGUUGCGAACGGGUGAGUAACGCGUAGGUAACCUGCCUACUAGCGGGGGAUAACUAUUGGAAACGAUAGCUAAUACCGCAUAACAGCAUUUAACACAUGUUAGAUGCUUGAAAGGAGCAAUUGCUUCACUAGUAGAUGGACCUGCGUUGUAUUAGCUAGUUGGUGAGGUAACGGCUCACCAAGGCGACGAUACAUAGCCGACCUGAGAGGGUGAUCGGCCACACUGGGACUGAGACACGGCCCAGACUCCUACGGGAGGCAGCAGUAGGGAAUCUUCGGCAAUGGGGGCAACCCUGACCGAGCAACGCCGCGUGAGUGAAGAAGGUUUUCGGAUCGUAAAGCUCUGUUGUAAGAGAAGAACGUGUGUGAGAGUGGAAAGUUCACACAGUGACGGUAACUUACCAGAAAGGGACGGCUAACUACGUGCCAGCAGCCGCGGUAAUACGUAGGUCCCGAGCGUUGUCCGGAUUUAUUGGGCGUAAAGCGAGCGCAGGCGGUUUAAUAAGUCUGAAGUUAAAGGCAGUGGCUUAACCAUUGUUCGCUUUGGAAACUGUUAGACUUGAGUGCAGAAGGGGAGAGUGGAAUUCAUGUGUA
rnacentral:rRNA from 1 species